AUCACCUCUCGGCCUUUUGGCUAAGAUCAAGUGUAGUAUCUGUUCUUGUCAGUUUAAAAAGGGACAACUAGGGGUGGGCAUUUUGACACACAGUGGUUUAGUCACCACUGGGAUCACUGGGAUGCCCAUAUUCCACAUCGAAGUGCCUGGCUUGAGUCCUGGUUUUGCUUCUGCCUGGUUUUUUGGGGUUUUU